rnacentral:rRNA from 1 species
UGUAGAGAUACGGGAGUGCCUUUCGGGGAGCGGUGAGACAGGUGGUGCAUGGUUGUCGUCAGCUCGUGUCGUGAGAUGUUGGGUUAAGUCCCGCAACGAGCGCAACCCUUGUGAAUAGUUGCUACGAAAGAGCACUCUAUUCAGACCGCCGUUGACAAAACGGAGGAAGGUGGGGAUGACGUCAAAUCAUCAUGCCCCUUAUGUCCAGGGCAACACACGUGCUACAAUGGGCAGAACAAAGAGAAGCAAUACCGCGAGGUGGAGCCAAACUCAAAAACUGCUCUCAGUUCGGAUUGCAGGCUGAAACUCGCCUGCAUGAAGCUGGAGUUGCUAGUAAUCGCGAAUCAGCAUGUCGCGGUGAAUACGUUCCCGGGCCUUGUACACACCGCCCGUCAUACCAUGAGAGCCGGGGACACCCGAAGUCGGUUGGGUAACCGUAAGGAGCCCGCCGCCGAAAGUGGAAUCGGUAAUUGGGGUGAAGUCGUAACAAGGUAACCAAGCC